GGAUGUGAGGGCGAUCUGGCUGCGACAUCUGUCACCCCAUUGAUCGCCAGGGUUGAUUCGGCUGACCUGGCUGGCUAGGCGGGUGUCCCCUUCCUCCCGAAGCUGCGUGAUCAGUUUGAGAGGACGACCACGCCCUAUGGAGGAGGACCAUCCUCGGUCAUGGGUACAGGAGUAGCUGCGCUCCCCUGCUGGAACCUCCAAACAAGCUCUCAAGAAAAUGUAUGAGCAUGUUGGGUAUUUUCCAUUUAUUGAAU
rnacentral:snRNA from 1 species